UACGAAGGGGGCUAGCGUUGUUCGGAAUUACUGGGCGUAAAGCGCACGUAGGCGGAUAUUUAAGUCAGGGGGUGAAAUCCCGGGGCUCAACCCCGGAACUGCCUUUGAUACUGGGUAUCUCGAGUCCGAGAGAGGUGAGUGGAAUUCCGAGUGUAGAGGUGAAAUUCGUAGAUAUCGAGAGGAACACCUGCGGCGAAGGCGGGUUGCUGGGCCGACACUGACGCUGAAGUGCGAAAGCUAGGGGAGCGAACGGG
rnacentral:rRNA from 1 species